rnacentral:rRNA from 1 species
AGCGGACGCUGGCGGCAGGCCUAACACAUGCAAGUCGAACGAUCCUUCGGGAUAGUGGCGUACGGGUGAGUAACACGUGGGAACGUGCCCUUUGGUUCGGAACAACUCAGGGAAACUUGAGCUAAUACCGGAUGUGCCCUUCGGGGGAAAGAUUUAUCGCCAUUGGAGCGGCCCGCGUCUGAUUAGCUAGUUGGUGAGGUAAUGGCUCACCAAGGCGACGAUCAGUAGCUGGUCUGAGAGGAUGAUCAGCCACACUGGGACUGAGACACGGCCCAGACUCCUACGGGAGGCAGCAGUGGGGAAUCUUGCGCAAUGGGCGAAAGCCUGACGCAGCCAUGCCGCGUGAAUGAUGAAGGUCUUAGGAUUGUAAAAUUCUUUCACCGGGGACGAUAAUGACGGUACCCGGAGAAGAAGCUCCGGCUAACUUCGUGCCAGCAGCCGCGGUAACAC